GACGAACGCUGGCGGCGUGCUUAACACAUGCAAGUCGAACGGUGAAGCGCCUUCCUUUUUGGUGGGUGUGGAUGAGUGGCGAACGGGUGAGUAACACGUGAGUAACCUGCCCCCUUCUUCUGGAUAACCGCAUGAAAGUGUGGCUAAUACGGGAUAUUCUGGGUCUGUCGCAUGAUGGGUCUGGGAAAGAUAUUGUUUCGGUGGGGGAUGGGCUCGCGGCCUGUCAGCUUGUUGGUGGGGUGAUGGCCUACCAAGGCGGUGACGGGUAGCCGGCCUGAGAGGGUGGACGGUCACACUGGGACUGAGACACGGCCCAGACUCCUACGGGAGGCAGCAGUGGGGAAUAUUGCACAAUGGGAGCAAGCCUGAUGCAGCGACGCCGCGUGAGGGAUGGAGGCCUUCGGGUUGUGAACCUCUUUCGCCAGUGAAGCAGGCCUGCCUCGUUUGUGGGUGGGUUGACGGUAGCUGGAUAAGAAGCGCCGGCUAACUACGUG
rnacentral:rRNA from 1 species